AGCCUAGCUUGCUGGGUGGAUUAGUGGCGAACGGGUGAGUAACACGUGAGUAACCUGCCCUUGACUCUGGGAUAAGCCUGGGAAACUGGGUCUAAUACCGGAUACGACCAUUGCCCGCAUGGGUUGGUGGUGGAAAGCUUUUGUGGUUUUGGAUGGACUCGCGGCCUAUCAGCUUGUUGGUGAGGUAAUGGCUCACCAAGGCGACGACGGGUAGCCGGCCUGAGAGGGUGACCGGCCACACUGGGACUGAGACACGGCCCAGACUCCUACGGGAGGCAGCAGUGGGGAAUAUUGCACAAUGGGCGAAAGCCUGAUGCAGCGACGCCGCGUGAGGGAUGACGGCCUUCGGGUUGUAAACCUCUUUCAGUAGGGAAGAAGCGAAAGUGACGGUACCUGCAGAAGAAGCGCCGGCUAACUACGUGCCAGCAGCCGCGGUAAUACGUAGGGCGCAAGCGUUAUCCGGAAUUAUUGGGCGUAAAGAGCUCGUAGGCGGUUUGUCGCGUCUGCUGUGAAAGGCCAGGGCUCAACCCUGGUUCUGCAGUGGGUACGGGCAGACUUGAGUGAUGUAGGGGAGACUGGAAUUCCUGGUGUAGCGGUGAAAUGCGCAGAUAUCAGGAGGAACACCGAUGGCGAAGGCAGGUCUCUGGGCAUUAACUGACGCUGAGGAGCGAAAGCAUGGGGAGCGAACAGGAUUAGAUACCCUGGUAGUCCAUGCCGUAAACGUUGGGCACUAGGUGUGGGGGACAUUCCACGUUUUCCGCGCCGUAGCUAACGCAUUAAGUGCCCCGCCUGGGGAGUACGGCCGC
rnacentral:rRNA from 1 species